GGAAAUUCAGUAAAGUAGCCCCGUAACGUCAGGAGAAGAGGUGCCUCCUCACAAAGGGGGUCACAGUAACCAGACCUGGGCAAUUGGUUACCAAGAAUACAAGUCUCCGCAAAGUCCUAAGACCAUGUAUGGGGAGUGAUGUCUGUCCAGUGUCGGCAUGUCAAAGUACUGACCUGAUGACAGGGGAGUCAGCGAUCGAAGUCCCGGUAAACGGCGGCCCUAACUCUAACGAUCUAGUGAUUUUUUAUUUCAUAAAUAUCAAUGAAUACCAAGAAUUGUUUCAAGACAAAUUC
rnacentral:ncRNA from 1 species